CAUACACAUAAACAAAGAAUUAAACAUUCUCUUAAAGUAUAAAGCUUCCACAAAUACAAUAAACAUCAAAAACAAGAAUUUAAUGACACAAUUGAAGUAAGACCUCCCCAAAGUUUAAGAUUUUUAAUAUUAUCUAAACUGAGAGCAAAAAGCUUUACUCACCAGAACAAUCUGUAAAAUCACAAUCAGAUUCAGAAACAGAGAAUCAAUUUGUGGGAGCAUUAAAGUGAGAGAUGGGUCUUCUUAUUCCCCGACAAUCCUCACCAAAAUCGAGGACACAAACCCAGAUCUUUACAACAGCGAUCGACAGAUUUUUCAAAGGGUCUAAAUCGUAUGGAAGCUUUUUGUUGUUUUGGUGUCACUCAAAGCACCAUGUGAUACACGCCUAAACACGUUAUUCCAUAGAAGAAGAAGACGAAACUAUCAUCAUACUUUGAAUCGCGAUACGACGGAUUCGAGAGUGUUGGCACAGUUCUCUUUUAUUUUUUUGUGUGUGUAGUAGACGAAAGAGACCAUUGAGGAACACGAUUGCCACGCGUCGUUUUUUAGCUGGACUUAGCGCGGAGAAAAGAAGGUAACGUUGAAAGUUAUCAAACUGCGUGCCGUUUUCACCCAGCUAGGAAAACGUCAAUCACUUGAUGGCUCUUUUUCUCUAUGGUGGUGAGUUAAAAAUAUUUACACUUUUGUUUUGAUUUCUCAUACUGUAUUUUUCUUUUUGUUUGGACAUGAUAGAUUUAAUAGGUUGGACCAAAGUUCUGGAGAAGUAAUUAUGAUUCUAAAAAGAUUGUAUUGAGUGAAAAUAUGGUAGCAAUGGAAGAGUGUUCAUUGUUCAAGCUCAUGGGUGAUGAGUAUUAUAACAGCGUGAAACGAAUUCAUUAAUAUGUUCUACUUUUUGAACACAUGAAAUUAUGGGUUUAAAAUUUGAGACUUUGUUUUAGUAGAAGAUUAAAAUGAUGUAAGUUUUUAAACCAUUACCAAUGGUCUCUUAUUUUGAGGUAAAAAACAUUUUAAAAUUAUAGGAAAGUUUUUUUCCAUUACUAAAUCAUUUUGAGAGAAAAUUACUUUUUAAAUAGUAAGUAUAAGUAAUAUAGAAGAAUAUAAUUGACAUAUUUCUUUUGAGUUAAAAUACAGGGAGAGCCAUCGAAAAAAAUGAGGAUAAAUUAUUGAAAUAACUCAUUAAUAUCGUGUUGGUAUAUAAAGAUUUAAUACAUCUUUUGUACAAUUCCGUUUUUCAAUUAUACAUUAACUAUAAAAUUAUUCUUUGACCGGUAAUCAAGUUUGAUUAUGAAGCAUAUUUCUAUAAAACAUAUAAACAUAGCUAAAGAAAAUUAUACAUUACUUUGAAAAAUAUACAUCACUAACAUUUAAACAAUUAAGACUACAACACUAAAAAUGAGUUGAAUUCAAUGUCAUAUAUGCAAAAUAUAGACACACCUUUAAAUUUUAGAUUUGUUAAAAUAAUAUUCUGGUUAAUAUAACUGGUUUAACUACUAUCUCAACUAUCUUUUCACACAAUAAAAUUUAGGAUCAUUGCGAUUUUCAUCAGCAUUAUCGUUAAAUGUAAAUUUAUUGUAAUCGAUAAAAAAAAUUUAAAAAAAUCAUCACCGAAAAGAUUUGGGACACCGAUUCCAUUUUUUUCAUUUCAAGUAUACCUCCGUCUUUUUCUUGAUUGUGUUAUCUUUGUCAAAAUCGUUGACAUAGAAAUCAAAAAAAAUAUUUUGGACUGAUCCACUCGAUGCAGGAGGUUACCGUGGUCGUUCUGACUUCUGAUCAUUGUUACGGUGAUUUGAGGUGUCAAAUUUCAGUGGAUAACAACAUUCGUCCAAUUCUUAUUUACAUCAAAGCUUCUCAAAAGUGAAUUCGACAAAUACAUGUCAUCGAUACCUAUUGUGGUAUGUUAUAUGCAAAUUUAAGAUUAUUGCGCACUGAAAUUUUUCUAUAAUGAUCCAAUCUCUUUUUAAAACUGAUAAAUCCAAUUUAUUGUAAUUGAUAAUACAAUUCAUUUUAAGCAAAAAAAUAUAUUCAAAAAUAUUGCAGUUAUGCAAAUGGUUACAAACGUUUUUUGAUUUUUCAUAUCAUCGAAAAAUAUUUGAAGGAGUUAUGUUUAUACAAGGAAUAUAUUUAUUUAUUUUAGCAGAAAAAAAAGAAAAAAAGUAUAUAUAAUUUAAAAUAUAAAGAUGGUCCAGUUGGUGAAAAAAAACAAAAAUGGUCGCGUUAAGCCGAUGCCAUUUGUGAUUGAUGAGAAGAUAGCAUUAUGAACACUUUCAGCAUUUUCUGAGGAAGAAAGAGACAUUCAAGGAGACAAAAAGUUUGAAAUACAUAUGAAAGAAAGAAAGAAGAAAAGAAUAUUUGCGUUAAAGAACGAAUUAUAAAUUAUGUUUUACACUAAUCCCUAUGUUGAAUACGAUCUCAUUCCAUUCUCACUUGUGGAACCCCUCACUCUCAAAAGACAAAACUAAAGUAAAAGACUUAAACCUCAGCUUAGAAACUCACACAAGAAGGGUUUAACACUUGAAUACUAAAGAAGAUUGGUGGUGGAUUUUGUAAAAUCAGUGGAUGCAAAAUCAUCAUUUUGUUCUCCUGAUCAUAUCUAGCCCAACUUUAUAAUAACAAUACACAAUAUAUAUUCAAGCACUAGGGAAUUGAAAUUGGAUAUUGAAGAGUGAAGAGUAGAGAAACCAAACAAAAAGUGUAUAAAUUAAUGGGUAAUGGGAAUCUAAAGAGUAGUAUAUAGAGUCAAUGAUUGGUAAAGCAUCCGCCCACUCAUCAAAUCUCUUUAUUUCAUCUUUCUUGGAAACAAUGAAUUGUGUCUCAUCUCAUCUCAAAAUACUUAACCAAAAUCCCACUUUCUCUUCAUACAAAGCAAUCAGAAAUUGCUCUAAAGUGCAUCAUCUCUUAUAAACAAAACCCACAAUGUUGUUGAUAUCGAAUGAAAAGGAAAAAAACAACUAGAGAAUAUUUCUUUAUUAAAGAAGACAAAAAAAAAAACUGAUAAUUUCCACAAAAGUAAGCUAUAUGUAACUUUAUUUCAAAAAUAAAAAACCUAUGUCUCACAUAAACUUUAUUUACAGAACAUGAUCAUAGACAGGAGUGCUACUACUAUUAAUACAUUGAAGUACUCUUCAUUAUCACAGACCUCCUAAAGCAUAUAUCUCACCAAAAUCACAAUCAAAACCAAAACUACUAGAGAUAUAAAAAUGGGAGAUCAACCACAAGAGAUUCAGCAGCCUCUUUACGUGUAUCCAUCUCCUUCUUCAUCUUCUACCUCUUAUACGACCCCGCCUUCACCCACUUCUAGUUCACGUGGCUCGUUCGGUACAGUGUUCAUAGUUCUAGCAGCGAUCCUUAUCUUGGCGGCACUGGCUUGUGUCUUUGGAAGGCUAUGCAACCGCGGGGGAAAGCAACACAAAGAAAAAAACAACAACAAAGCUUCGAAGCACGAGAAACCGUCGUCAAAGAAGAGCCGUGAGAUCAGACCUGUGGAGCGUGAGCCGAGAGAAAGAGGUGAUGUGGAGUUUGGGUUCGAUAUGAAGCGGCCUGGUCCAAUGGGGAAACCCUCUGGUCGAAACGGAGGGGACAUUGAGUUUGGGUUUGAUAACAAGAGAGGAGGAGGAGCUGGAGGAGCAGGAAGAGGAGGAGGAGGAGGAGCAGGAGGGAAAAGACAACCUCCGGUUAUGUAUUAAACAUGGAGUCACCAUGUCUAAGGGCACUUCAGACACGGUGGUUCCGACUUCAAACUCCGGUCAGAACAGAGUCUUAAAUCUUAAAUAAGACUAGAGACUUCAUCAUGCUUGUUUACUUUAUUGUAUUCUUGUUUGUUUUAUUUUUUGUCUUUUUUGUGUCGUUUGGUUUUGUUACAUAUGGGGUAUUGGAACUUAAUUAGAUAUCAAAUUAUAUAAUGAAAGCAAGAAAAGAAAAAAUUAGAUGACAAGUAACAACAAUUAAGCUCAAUAUGUGAAAAAAUAAGAUGAUGGAGUUCUUCAUUCAUGUUAUCACACAACAAAAAAAUCCAAAACUCAACACAGAGAAACAUACAAAAGCAAACACGAUUCAAAAUCACUCUUACAGAACACUGUUGUGACUUCUCUUUUUCUUUUUUGUUGUUGCUUUUUUUCUGUUCUCACCUAUGAUAAGUCUUUUGAGGCAAAUGUCCACAAUUAUGGAAGCAAAACUAAAGGUAAGCUAGCAAGAAACGUAUCUCACACACAAAAGAAUACAAAAGAGAGCAUUAAUGCUGUACAAAGAGCUCAAGCAUGAGGAGUGAUUAUAAGGCAAAGACAAGAGAAGAAGAGGUUAUAAGUUUGACCUAUCUUUGAAUCAGAACCGCCUGUUAUUGAAGUUUCUGUUGUCGGAUUCAUUCCUUGUGAACUCAGAGGAGGCUCCGUUGGAUCCUUUCCGGGAGCUAUGGACAGAGUAGUCUCCACUGUACAUGCCGGACUCUGAGCUGUCGUCAAAACCAAACGCCAUUUUUCUGAACUUCAUGGUGUCAUGGUUAUACUGACCAGAUUCAUAAGCACUGCUUUGUCCCACUUUGAUUCCGUUGCUGAUAUCUCCCAUGUCUCCUUCGCUGUCCAGUGCUCUCACAACCUUAUUUCAAACAAGUUUUGUGUAAGUUUUUCAAAUUUUAUAAACAAAAACAUGACAUUGAUAGGAUUGUUCUUUGUUGAGAUUUGAUUAGUCAUAAUUCUGCUACGAGUAGUGAUUAGUCAUAAGUACCUGAACCAUGCGUGGACGUUUAGGACCAGAAUGCCUAACACAAGCAGCAGCCGUUUCAAUCAUUCUGAAAACUUCAUUCUCCACGUAGUGCUUUUCUAGCCUCCUAUCGACUAGUUCACUGAAAUCACCGGUCUCAAUGGCUUUGUGAAGCAGUGGGCGAGCCUGUGAGUUCAUCAUAGAUUAUGUCAUUCAUAAAACUAGAGCCAAGUCUAACCAUAUAUUGAAAUAUCAAGACAGGUUAGUCUUUAGUACCCAUUCAACCAAACUCUCUUCUCCCACAGGCUGGUACUGGUCAACUGGUUUGCGUCCUGUUAUAAGCUCUAAGAGAACAACCCCAAACGAGAAUACAUCUGAUCUAUCAGUCAGCUUUCCGCUUUGUGCAUAUUCUGGUGCUAGGUACCUGAAAACAAAAUUCAAUAACAUAAAUCCUUAUGUACUUUUGAGAAUCAAAACUAGUUCGUCAGUUUUACAAGUUUAAGCUCCUGAAGAUAGGUGGACUAUAUAUUGGGGUAGAGUUUGUGAUCAAUCUUACCCAAAGGUUCCCAUAACACGAGUUGACACAUGGGUUUGUGUUGAAUCAUUGAGUUUGGCAAGCCCAAAGUCAGCAACCUAGACACCAAGAGACAGAAAUGUAAGAACAAAUAAAUGUCUCACUAACUAAUUAAAACUUUAGAGCCAAAGCUCAAAACAGAGUAAAUGUUUUCCUUUUAAAGAUGAUUUGCUUUAUUACCUGAGCUUCAAACUCAUCGUCUAGCAGGAUGUUUGCGGACUUGAUGUCCCUGUGAAUGAUUUUUGGGUGACCUGCAGAUAACGUCACCAUGAUUCAGCUUCUGUUUGAACUUUUGAAAUGCCUAAACAUUGCCUUCACACGCAAGAAAAAAACAGUACUUACAGUCUUCGUGCAAAUAUGCCAAACCUUUGGCAGAACCUAUAGCAAUUCUGACUCUUCUAGCCCAUUCAAGGACUGGCCUUCCCUUCCCUGUCAAGAACAGAACCCAUGUAAGCAAAAAAAGCAUGUCGAUUAACACACACAAAAAAUCUUGUCUGAUGAGGAAAUUGGCCAAAAAAACCUCACCAUGCAAAUGAUGCUCCAAGGUUUGGUUAGGAACAUACUCAUAGAUAAGCAAUCUCUCUGAAUCCGAAAUGCAGUAACCAACAAGAGAAACCAAAUGGCGAUGAUGAACACGACUAAUGAUCUCAACCUCUGCCUUAAACUCACGGUCGCCUUGUCCACUACCAACCUUAAGCUGCUUAACAGCAACUAGUUUCCCAUCAUUUAGUUUACCUUUGUAGACACAACCAAACCCUCCUUCUCCAAGUAUGUUCUGUUUAGAAAAUCCUUCAGUUAUGUCCAUUAGCUCUUCAUAAGUGAAAUGCGUUUGACCACUUCCCAUCACUGCUGAAUCAGGUGCGCUCCCUGACCGUGUAUAACCUCCUCCUCCUCUUUGGCUGCCAAAGCUGUUUCCGGUACUGGAUUGUUGUUGUGUAUUGUAACCACCAGGACCAGAGUAUCCCUUUGUUGGAUUUUGACCGUAUAAGAAUCCAUCUAAGUAAAGCAAAAGAGAAAACUUUAAAAUUUGAUUCUUGAAGAUGGACAAGAUUAUGAGAGAUGGAUCAAGAUUUCACCUGAUUUGAUGGAGAAGUUUGAAGGAGGCAAGUACUGUGAGUCACUGUAAGCAUCAACGUUUCUCUUUUUCUUCCUUCUGACUAAAAACACAACGGCCAUCAAGGCAAUGACCGCGAAACCCGCUACUGCAAAACCGACCAUAGUCUUUCCUUGAUAGCCGCCACCGCCAUUUGGAGGUGGCAGAACAGAGAUUCCGCUGCUGGGGACUCCGCGAGAUGGCGAGUUUAGCGGUCCACCAGGAGCGGUAGACUUAGAUGGUAGUGGAGGAGCGGGUGGUGAUUUGGCAGGUGCUGAAGGUGAUUUGGUUGGUGCUGAAGGAGAUUUGGUUGGUGCUGAAGGAGAUUUUUUAGGUCCUGGUGAGUGUUUUUUAGGUUUCUUGUGUCCGGCCUGGGGUGAAGACGCUGGAGGAGGUACCUGUUCAGGAGGCGGAGGAGCAGGAGGGCUGUCUUCUUCAUUGGGGGGAGGCGGUGGCGAUUCAAACACUUCCGGUGGGGGAGGGGAAUUGGUGGGCUCCGGCGGGGGUGAGUCUUCCGGUGGAGGUGGAGGGAACACAGUAGGCAACGGCGGUGGAGCAUUUUCCGGAGGAGGUGGAGAACUCGGUGGAGGAGAUGGAUCAGCAGGCGGAGGAGAUGUAUCAGCCGGCGGAGGAGGAGGAGAUGUAUCAGCCGGAGGAGGAGAUGAAUCAGCUGGUGGAGGAGAUGAAUCAGCCGGCGGACUAGGAGGUGGCGCUGAAUCCGUAGGUGGAGGAGCGGAUCCGCCGGUUGAGUUAUCCGGCGGAGGAGCAGAAUCGGCAGACGGUGCAGGUGGAGAAGAAGACGGCGAGUCCGACAUUUUCGCCUUGUUUCUCUCUGUUUUAGCAAAAUACUCUGCUUCUGAAAAUUCAAAAUCACUCAACAGAAGCAGAGUUAUCGUCUCUCUCCUCAAAAAAUACGAAACUAUACCUUAAAAUUCAUCCAUUGAUUAAAAAAAUAUCUGGUACUGCAACUGUAAACAACUCAAUUCAAAUAACAUCCGAAAUAAACAAAUAUUUUCUAAUCACAAAAAUAUUUUUAAAAAAUGUUUAUAUAGCGAAGACCUGGAAAUAAGCUGGAGAAAUGCGUACCAUUACGGAAGUAUAAUAUGAAGAUAUCAAAUGUAAAAUAAUAACACGUUAAUGGAGGACCUCUCUCUCUCUCUCUUGUUCGUUUUGUUUUAUAAAUUGUAACAGCUCACCCAUGAUCUUAUUUUUCAAAUUUCAUUGGAAGCACGUCGUUUUGCUGUGCCCGUUUGAUCCAAAACUACGUCGUUUUACAGUAUCCGGGUUACCGCGCAAAGUUCCCUGAACCGACUUGAUCUGUUUUAAAUCUGCCACGUUGGAUAAAUAAGAAAGGAGAACAACACACUAUCACUAUGACGUGUUUCUCUACUUCGAACCUACUGUGUGGCUUUGAAAGUCUAAAACGUAUUGGGCCUGUUGAUACGUAUUGGGCUCAUUGAUUUCUAAUGUCUUUAAAUGAUAGGAUUAUUUUUUUGUUUGGUCAUCAUAUCAUUUUGAAAAAUAAAUAAAAAUUGUAUAAUGUUUACCGAAUACACGAAAGUUAUGUUAUUUCGAAACUAAUUCUAUUAUCAUUAUUUUAUAUCUAAAUAAUUUAUCAAAAACUUCAGAAUUAUGUGAUGUAGAAGGAAACUAAUGGAAGCAUUUUCAAUUUCACAAGUUAACUAUUAAUAAUAAUACACCAAUAUUUUUCCUAUUCACAAGAAAAAACAAAGAUAGAAGAGAAUUCGUACACUAUUAUGUAACCGACCUCAAAAUAUCUACAGUACACGCAUACAUAUUUGAUGACUUAAUAAGAUUCUACACUAUUUUGGUAUUCUCUAUAAGUAAUGUUGUUAAUAAAUUUGACUGGGAGCUUAGUCACAAACCAUUAAGUAUAAACCACAUGCUAUCAUAUUCAUAUUUGUAUCGUUCAUUACCUCAAUAAUGUUUGGGAAUUCUCUAAAUAUAGUCUAAAAGGGUAAAAUAGUAAUUGAAGAAUAUAGAAGUAGAAACUUGUUGGCCAAGUUUUCGCUUUAAUCGUACGUACACUCUCUCUCUCUUGCCUAUAACUGUAAAUCCCUAAAACCGCCAUUGAAACAAACCUUCACCAUUUCUCCUUUUUCCCCAAGAAACCUUCUUCUUCUUUUCUCUCUCUCUCUCUGUUUCUCUUUCUUUCUAAUGGCGGCACAGGUCGAGAUCGACGAUCAAGAAUCCGUGACGAGACAAGACAACGGCGAAAUCUUCAACCCCGUCUCCGAUAAUAACGCCGUACCUAACUUCUCCGGCGAUUCAACGAUUCUUCUAAGUGAAGACAGCUUCGAGAACGAUCUCAUCAAGAACUGUUUCCUCUCGGGAAUGGGUUCCUUCUCCGGCGAAACAACGAUCGUUUCCGUUCGUAAGAACUCGACGGAGAGAAGAAUCACGACGAAAGCUAAGUUCGCAGCGUUUAAAGUUUUCACCGAAGCUUUGACGAGGAAGAACGAAGGAGUCGCGAACGUUAAGUACGGAUGGUACUCUGGUUCUAAAGAAGAGAUGGAUCGUAUCGUUACGUAUGGUUUUAGUAACAGAGAGAUCGAGAAGUUUGAGAAUGACGCUGGAUCUCACGGUGUUGGGAUUCAUCUUGUUCAUCAUAGAUACUCUCUCGCUGCGUAAGUCUUUUUUUUUAAUUUUGUUUUCAGAUCUAAGUUUGGUUAAUGUGAUCACUUUUGAUGAAACAGUGAAAUUGAUGGGUUCUGCUUUCAGGGCUUUAGUUGGUGAAGGUGAUGAACAAGGGAUGAAGCAUGUUCUCUUAUGCCGUGUGAUUCUUGGUAAACCGGAACAAGUCGUGGCUGGUUCUAAGCAAUUUCAACCAAGCUCGUACCGGUUUGAUUCUGGUGUUGAUAAUCUUGAGAAUCCGAGGAAAUAUGUGAUUUGGAGCUCUAACAUGAAUUCUCACAUUCUUCCUACUUAUAUCGUCAGUUUCAAGUCUCCUCGUCUCAGAGGUAAUAAUAAUAACACAAACUUAUUCAAGAUUCUUUGUGUGUUUUGUGGUUUAAUCUGAGAGUGAAGUUAAUGUUUUGUGCAGGUCUUAUUAGAAGAGCAAGGUCACCAUGUGUUAGCUUCUCUGUUCUUAUGUCUAUACUUUCAAAGUCACUCGACGCUACAAGAAUGAACAUGAUCUUGACAACUUAUGAUGAUUUUAGAGUACGGAGUUAUUUCAAUAUCCAUGAGCAGUGUGAUCUAUCUAUACAUGAUCUGGUUUCUGAAACGUUGAUUUUGUUUUUUCUUUUGUUAGAAACGGAAGCUGAGAAGAGAGCAGCUAGUUAAGAAGAUGAGGGAAGUGGUUGGAGAUCAUCUUCUUUUCAAGAUUCUCAAGAACCAGAGGCGUUAGAAAGAAAGGACAAAAAAAGUAGAAGUAAGUCUCCUUUAACAAGAUUUCAUAAUCAGUCAAUGAUAAAUGUUUUGCUUAUGGAGCAAGGUCUAAUUACUUUUUCAUAACUUUAGUUUGUUAGAAUAUUAGUCAGACUAGAGUAUUGAUCCCACUUUUUUUUUGUCUUUGGCAGAGGAGAAAUUGACGUUUACAGAUUUUACCAGAAGUAGCCAAAGUUUAACAGGAGCUGAGGACAUAAUGGAGAAGUUUCGAAACAACAAGAAACAACACAUUCACACACAUAGUAGUUAGUAGUAGUAUAUAGAAGAAGAUAUAUAGAUUGCAGUAAUGAAAAACACACUUUCUUUGUUUUUUACCUUUUCUUGUUUGUUUUUUACUCGUUAGCUUGUAUCAACCAGAUUUGACAAUUAGUAAUACAAAGACACUUGGUAAAAAUCCCCAAUAUGCCUAUUGUGUCACUUCCGUUGCUUCUUGAUCUCUGAUAUGACAUUUACAGGGAUGAACUAAUAUAGAUUUUAUUUAUGUAAAAAACCUGAAAAAGAGUUAAUUUGUGCGAAUUAUUAUAUAUAAAUAUUGAAUUACAUUAAAGAAUCAUCUUCUCUCCAUUAAGCUUUAAGGAAUGUUGUUGCUGUUUAUUAGAGAGUUGANNNNNNNNNNNNNNNNNNNNNNNNNNNNNNNNNNNNNNNNNNNNNNNNNNNNNNNNNNNNNNNNNNNNNNNNNNNNNNNNNNNNNNNNNNNNNNNNNNNNNNNNNNNNNNNNNNNNNNNNNNNNNNNNNNNNNNNNNNNNNNNNNNNNNNNNNNNNNNNNNNNNNNNNNNNNNNNNNNNNNNNNNNNNNNNNNNNNNNNNNNNNNNNNNNNNNNNNNNNNNNNNNNNNNNNNNNNNNNNNNNNNNNNNNNNNNNNNNNNNNNNNNNNNNNNNNNNNNNNNNNNNNNNNNNNNNNNNNNNNNNNNNNNNNNNNNNNNNNNNNNNNNNNNNNNNNNNNNNNNNNNNNNNNNNNNNNNNGAACAUGAGAUUGCAGAUCUUUCUCCUUUGAUGGAUAUAUCUGUGAAUUUUCCUGCUAUUAGUUCUGCUGCAAUUUCUACUACAUGCGUCAAGCACUGAAGCACAUGAUGAAAAUAGCAUACCUGCACUCCUUCCACUUUCGGGAUAUGACUCCUUCCACUCCUUCCGGUUUCUGUACACAUUGUAAAAAAGGUUACAUCUAUCAAAACUUAUUACUUGAAAGAAGAAACAAAAUCUACUACAUAUGAGACUCAUAAGAGACAACAGUACCUGAUGCACUUCCAUCAAAUAAUCUAAUUAGUCUGAUUACUUUUGCCUGCCAUGGAAACAAACACAAUUUGAAUUUCUCAUAAGACAAAAUCCAAAUAACCAUUUUCUCAACGAGAAGCUUUUGAAACAGACAAACACACCCUCUGAAUGUCAUUCUGAACCAGGAGACUCUGUAACAGUGGGAGGAUUUCCGUUGCUGCGCAAGAUGUAUGGUUCACAGGACUAACUGUGUAGCCAUUUUUUGGUUUCUCCUGAUAAAAGAACUACGAAGGUAAGGUUUCACAAUCUCGAGAACAGCAUGACAUUUUAUUCAAAAGUAAUUCAAAAUUACCGGCUCAUGUCCUGCUUUUUUCACUUGCUUUGUAUCCGCUAAUGGUUCUAGUAGAUGUGGCUCUUCAGGAACGAGCUUCCCUUCAGUUCCUUCCCUAGAGUAACAUGCAUUGCUUUCAUCUGUAAGGAUACCAACUUGAUAUCUGUUCCAAUAUGUUUAUUUCUAAGUUGUACAAGCAAACUAAUGAGAUAUCAAAGUAUGUAACUUUGGAUUAUCCUAGUCAUGAAUAUGUUAUAUAACCUAUCAUAUUAAUAAACAGACACAUGAAAACAUUAUAAGGGGAUGGUUACGGUGAAAUGGGACUCCACAGAUGGGAUUUACUAUUGUACAGAGAAGAGAAAAUGUUAUAAAGUACCCAAGAGUUGGAAGUAAUGGGAUGGUUGAUUGACUCUCACUUUCACUCAUCAUAUCCUGUAAGUAGGACAAGGGUAUGACAAGAGGUUAACUGAAAUGCAAAAUAGGUACGCAGAGAUAUGCCUUCAUAUGACGAACGAAUGACACUUGCCUUUUCUGAGUGACAUUCUGAAGAAGUCUGUGACCUUUGUACCACUGGGUUUCUUUUUGGUACAUCAAGUUCAACAUCCCCAUCUUCGUUCAGUUCCUGAAUCUCUGAAUUGCACAUUUCAUCAUUUGAAAUCUGAUAGCAGAACACUGAAGCAUUGAGAGCGAGCGAAAAAGACUAGUUUUACGUUUACUUUAAGAAAUGACAUUACUUACAAGUGAUGCUUGUCUCCUCAAGUCUUCGAGAUCAAAAUUCCAAGCACUAAUCCCUCGCAUAUACUCAUGCUGCAAGAAAGCAUUACAUGAUUCUAAAUUAGGUAGACUGCAAAGAUAACUGAAUAGAUGCGCAUCUCCAUAUACUGAUUAUAGAUUAGUACCAAAAGAGGUAAGAGAUGCUAGAUUGUUAUUUAUCUUUGUACCUGAGAUAACUGUUCUUUGUCACCAUUUAUGCCUUUAAACAACUCAGCCUCUGCCUCCUGACAUAAGAGAAACUUCACAGUUUGAAAACACCUACUUAUAUAUAAGGUAAGUAAUGAAGAUUAAGGUAAGUAAUGAAGAUACUGAAUUCCAACAGAUAAGUAAAUUCUUCAACUCACCUUCAGGUUUUGAAAACGUUCACCAAGUGGAGAAAGACCAUGAAGGAUUUUACGAGACAAAUAAUCUGUAGACCGAGCAUGUUUGAAGAAAGGGUGUUUCAGAAGUUUUGCUGAGGUUGGACGCCUUUUUGGAUCUUUAACUAAGCAAGCUGCGAUUAACUCUCUAAAUGACUGCGAAAAGGACACCGUUCCUUUCUAAGUGAAAGAAAAAUGGAAUCUACUUCUAUAUGUUGUACAUCAUUUAAUCCCACUUACCUUUGAGAAUUUCUUAUCUCUUUCAUAGUCAAGGCGAGGAGGAGCAUUUUGUAAAGUCAUUAAUAACACCUGAAAAAUAGUUGAGAGAACCAGCAGAGUAAGAUUGAAGUAAAAAACUACAUUGAAAGAAACAGUAGAUGUGGAUAAGGAAAUAUCAUAAGUCCAUGAUGGCCAUGAACUUGUCUACAGGUAGGACUCACCUUCAUAGGUGGAUAUUUGGAAAAUGGAGCAUGACCAUGAGCAAGCUCCAGCGCAGUUAUGCCAAACGACCAUAUGUCUGCUCUAAUAAGCCAAACAGAGAAAUGUAAAAUAACAAUAACCUAAGCUAAUUACUUGUGAUUGCUAUGCAUAUGGACUACUAGUAAACCCACAUACAUACUUGAAAUCAUAUCCGUCUACUUGCUGCAUAACCUCAGGUGCCAUCCUGAAAAGCCAAAAGAUUCAAUUUUUUUGAAAGAAUCAACCACCAAUAUAGAAACUUGAUUCUAGUCAGAGUACUAAGGACUCACCAACAAGGAGUUCCAACAAAUGUAUUCCUUGGACGCAUCCUUUCCCCACUUUCAAACAUACAAGCUGAAACUCCAAAGUCUCCAAGUUUCACUACACCUCUUGAGUGAAUCAAUAUGUUCCCAGCCUAGAAAUAAAACAAUGUAAACUCAUGAUCCCUCUACUCAAAACACAAGACAAAAGGCAGAGACUUUUUCCAAUCUUUUACCUUAACAUCUCUGUGGAUAUGACCUUGUCGAUGGAGAUAAACAAGAGCUUUAAGCACUUCCCUCAACAAAGUAGCAAUAAUAGGUUGCUCAAGACCAUCCGGAAAAACAGAUUUCAUUAAAUGAAAACAAGAACCACCAGACAUAUAAGGCAUCACAAUCCACAGACUACUACUGUCUAUAAACGAACAAUGUGCUCUCAAUAAAUUCGGAUGAUCAAUCAAGUUCAUUAUAUGAACUUCUUUGCGUAUUGUUUCCUACAUUAAUAACAACAACAAAAAAUGAAACUUCAUAUCAAAUGUAAUGUUAUGGUAACAACAGAGAUAAAGAAUUCAAAAAAGAUUGAGGAUU
rnacentral:lncRNA from 1 species